AACGCUGGGUCCCGCCCCUUCUUCCGGCUGGGUUCCACUACCUGCAAGGCUGGAACUGACAGCCACUGUGCAAACAAAAAAAGGCAACAAGCAUGCUGGGACCAUUCUGUCUGCUGUUUGGGUCUCACUUGUCCUGACAACUAAAAAUCAUCAGUGGAAAGAGGUUAGAACAUUUGAAAAUUAUCAAAAAGCAGCAGAGACAAGUUCAGGUGGUUUCCAGGGGAGAGGCACUGAAAGUGAUUGAUUCCUAUCAAAAGCACAAGGACAAAAAACAAGAUCUCCCUGUGUCGCCAAGGUGGGUCUGGAACUCCUGAGCUCAAGUGAUCCUCCUGCCUCAGCCUCCCAAAGUGUUGGGAUUAUUGAUGGAAGCCACUGCAUGUGGUCAAUUCUGUCAUUCUUGACAAUAUGGAUGAAGCUGGGAGAUACUUGGAUGAAGCUGGGAGAUACUGUGCUGAGUAGAAUAAAUGAAGCACCAAAAGACAAAUGCCUCAUGAGCUCACUUAUGUGUAGAAUCUGUAACAGUUGAACUCAUCAGAGAGUAGAAUAAUGGUUCCCAGGAACUAGCAGUAGGCUGGAGGGAGAGGUGAGGAGGUGUUGGUCAAAUAAUAUAAAAUUUCAGUUAGGAGAAAUAAGAUUUAAGAGAUCUAUUGCACAACAUGGUGACUAUAGUUAACAACACUGUAUUAUAUUCUUGAAAAUUGCUAAGAUUUUAAUAUACUCACCACAAAAAAUAAGCAUGUGAGGUAAUGCAUAUGUUAAUGGCUCAAUUUAGCCAUUUCUAAUGAUUAAAUAUUUGAAAGCAGUUAUAUACCAUAAAUGUGUACUUUUUUAAUUAAAAAAAAUUAUUUUUUAGCAGGAUGCUCUGAAAUUGGAACUCAGUAUUACUUAAACCUUGAAGUCUGGGAACAGGGACAUAGUGCUUUUCCAAAACUGCCAGAAAGGUGUCUCUUAAUGCUCUAUGGAUAGAAGUGGCCACCUGUCUUACAGGCUGACGCUGGAGCCCAGCAAAAGUUAUUUUGGUAGACCCUUAUGGUUUAGCAAUGCAAGAAGAGAACCUACUUACUUUCUUUAUAUUAACUCUGGAUACUGAUAAACUAAAUAAAAAUACCCUGGCCAGGGAUAUUAAUUAUUUUGUUUAUUCACAUAAAA
rnacentral:lncRNA from 1 species